GGGCCAAAGUAUACAUACAUUUAAAUAUAUAAUAUUUUGUUUCUUUGGUCCAAAUCAAAAGCCCAAAACAAAUCACAUUACAAACCCAUUUCAGCUCACAUAUUAUAAACAAAAUCCAAACCCUAAAUCUAUCAACAGGCAGCAUCACUACCCCUGUCUGAAUAUCUUCUCUGCCUAGUCAUUGUUCACUUUGUUUCUGUCCGAGAACUGCUACAUCGUCUCCUCUCUACCAAUUUAACAAUCACAGCCCUCCCUACACACCUUCUUGCUUCCUUCUACCGAUGGUUUCAUUUUUUUCUCCGGCGAGGUGGUAGAGUAAAUGGAAAGAAAAAGCAAGAGGAAGAUGGAGGAUGUUGAUGAGACAGAAAGCUAGCGAAUCAUUUUGGACCGUUCAGCCAAUGGGGCUUCCUUUUCCUCAUCAAAUGGCGGUGACUCUUUUUCUCCUCUGACUUUUGAUUCAUCCCACCUUUCACUGCACUUCCCACCGUCAAACAGUUCUAGAUUUUCCGGCACCGGAUGACGGUCAGCAUGCUCGGCGGCGAUAGAAGGACCAGUGUGGAGGAAGAGUACACCCAGAGACACCACAGACAUGAGGUCGGAGAGAACCAGUGUAGCUCCUCGCUCGUUAACCACAUCAGAGCUCCUGUUCAUCUGUUGUUCUUCCGAUUUUCUGUUGGUUUCUGCUGAGUAUUACUCCGAUCUGGUCGUUCGUGCUAUUGUUUGAAAUAUCGUUUUGGAAUUGAGACACAUAUCCAAAGCAAAACAGGAACAAAGAUUGAAUUUAAAACAAUAGGUUUCAGUGACAACAUACUUCAGCACACCUUUGUGGUCUGUUGAGGAUGAAGCGGCACCAACAAUAAACUGCCCGUACAUCUUCUUCUUUGAUCGUAGAAAUAUGAAAUAUGUUUUUUUCAGUUUGUAUUUGAGUAGAGGUUGAAGUCUCCAAACAUGUAUCUUCUAUAUAUCUAUAUAUAUAAGCGUGGAAUUGAGGACUGCCAAGAGUACACCACUCCCAUACCCAGUUUGGUUGAAAUCACACGGCAACUCUGUAAACAGACAAUAGGCCACUCCCCUACAAAUAAGGCCUGACAACAUAGGUUUCUGAAGUCGGAUGGGCAGCAGUAUACAUUAAUUUGAUUGGCCAAGCAGCAAAAAAAAAAAAAAAAAAAAAAAC